UACAGAGGUCCCGAGCGUUGUUCGGAUUCACUGGGCGUAAAGGGUGCGUAGGUGGCUGGGAAAGUUUGAUGUGAAAGCUCAGGGCUUAACCCUGAAAUGGCAUUGAAUACUGCCUGGCUGGAGGUUUGGAGGGGGGACUGGAAUUCUUGGUGUAGCAGUGAAAUGCGUAGAUAUCAAGAGGAACACCAGUGGCGAAGGCGAGUCCCUGGACAACACCUGACACUGAGGCACGAAAGCCAGGGGAGCGAACGGG
rnacentral:rRNA from 1 species